ensembl:lncRNA
GGUUAUCAUGGUCAUUAUGACAAUGGUUACUCCCCAGCCAGUCCUUUAUGCUUCCUUAUGUUUUCUGAUUUUUCUAGCCCACACCACCAUCAUGGAGAAGUGAGCAAGGGAUGUUUGACCAAGUCACAAGGACAGAAGAAGCUAGCUAUUUAAGGUUUGGCAGGAUGCUAUGAAUACUAACCUAAUAUUCCAACUUAGUAUCAGCAGAAACCUCCUGUAGCUGCCAAGACAUGUUCAAACCUGACCUGAUUAAACAAGACAUUUUAAGAUGCAUGUGAAAAAACAGUACAGUUCUGGAUGCAUAAGAAUGCAGAUGCCCUCACCUCUGCGCAGUCAUGGAGACCAUGCCGGUCCUGCAGAGAGAAUGAAGCUACCAAAGAGAACACAGAUACAGGACACUCAAGUUAAACAAAACCACAGCGGCAUGAAGUCCUUCUCAUUAGAAAGUCAAACAGACAUCCAGAAAGCUGCAAAGCAAAUUGGAGAGAUGCCAGGACUUCAAUAGAAAUCACAGAUGAGGAUUUCAUACUUCAUGACUUUUCUUUAAGCAGGUGCAAAAGCAGAAAGCUGAAGAACUGUCUGCGAUGAGCACUAAGAGUCCUGAAAUAGAAUGGGACUCAUAGAAGGACAAGAACAACAUAGACCACCCAGAGGAGGAUCCAGAAGGAAUACAUAUUAUUCUCAGCAACACUGCCUAGACUUAUCAUCAGUUCUUUAGUGAGGAAGAACAAGAAACCAAUAGCAGACACACCUUAAAAUCUUUACUAUAAAGAUCUCAUGAUAGUAUGUAUUUAGUCAUUCUUUAAAAAAAAAAAAGAGAGAAAAAAAUCUUUGUAAGUGCCAGACAUUGGAGACAUAUGGUUAACAAGACAAAUACAGACCCUGGCCACAUGGGGUUUAUGAUCCAAUAGGAGAGACUGGCAUUAAACAAGCAAUCACACAAAUGUCAUUGCAAGUUUUGGUAAGUGCUCCAAAGAAAUACAAAGUAUCGGGGUGGAGGGGUGGGGCAGACAACUUCCUGAGAGAGCAACAGUAGGGCCAUGCCCUGAAUGAUAAGAAGGCAUUACUGGGAGAGAACUGCAGCAGAUGGUGCCAGGAAAUAACAUGCUUAAGGGUUCUGGGAGGGAAAAUGAGGCGUGUGGCCCAAGAACUGGGGUGCCUGUGCUAGGAAUAUCCUCAGUGGGAUGGAGAGUCUGCGUGGGGCAGGGCCAGACCCUCAGACCAUGUGGGCCAUGUUAGCAUCUUUGUUUUUUUCCAAAUAUAGGGCAAGUCACUGAAAGACUAGGCACACACAAUUGACGUUGACAUAUUCAUAUUUGUGUUUUUAAUGGAUCAUUCCAGUUGCACUGUGGAAAACAAGUUUGAGGGACUAGAAGGGAAAAGGAAGUCCAUUUGGAAGGCUUUUGGCCUGGCCACUAGAGUCAAGGCUCUGGUGAGCACAACCAGAUAACGGAGGACCCUUUGCUGUGUGGAGUCCUAAAAGGCCCACAUCUCUCCAGGUAUGCUGCAGAGUGGCUCACAAAUUCUAGGAGUCCAUAUGAGGUAGAGCUGCUCAAGCGGCAAAGCUUUCAUUUGGAUUAAAUUUAGUUGAAUGAAAAGGAGUCAGGAGUAACAUUUAGUCAUAUAGAAGUUUGUGAAAAGAAUGGGUUUGACCCACUGAAGUAAGCAACUGGGAAUGUGGGCAGGGACAUGAUUGUGCCCGCGUGCCAGAGUUUAAAGACGUCCCCUGGGUGCGGGACGAUUGAACCAUGCAUAGAUAGAGCAGUUAGGUGAAGAUCAAAUUACCGUACAGCCUUCUAUCAAAAGCAAAGUUGGAGAAUUUGGUUUAGGUCUGUGGACAAAGUGUUGCAAAUAUUUCAGCCCUGAAUUCAACCUGCCCCGAUGGAUCUUAGUAAGCCCUGCGAUUGGAGGAGGUGGUGCAGGAUGGAACCUGUUUGGGAGCUUUUUGCCUUUGUGGGAUCCUUCCUCCCUUAAAUAGCAAAAAUUGUGUUUUACAACUGCAUUGGUACAAAAAUAAAAUCCAGCCUCAUUUAUAUUCA